rnacentral:lncRNA from 1 species
AAAUCCUUGAAUCAAGAGCCGGAAAAUUCACCAAACCAAACUGAAUUCAGCCUUCGCAACAAAUAAUAAGGAUAAGCACAACCUACAGAAAACGAAAAAUCCACCGCAAGAGGCAAACAACCACACAAGCAGACGCUAAGACCGUAAGAGAAGAAGACAGAGCUUGAAAAGGAAAUUAAAAAUAGUUACAGGAGAGACUCUGAACUAGUUGACACCGACAACCACCACCACACCGAGCUCAAAUAUAGAGAUCUAGAAAUAGACUUCCACCGGAGCAACUUUAAUUAAUCCACUCGGAAAAGGUCGCAAACAUGAUCGCUCGAGGAGAUCAUGAACCACGUUCAUCACUGGUAACUGACCUCGACCAAAUAGUUCUAGACCAUCAAAAAUCCCACACCUGAACCUGGCCCUAAAUUUUCCAAACCAUCCCAAACUAGAAUGUACCGAAAUCUCGGGUCCAGUAGUAUCCACCACGUUGUGAUGGAGACCGACCCCACUAAAACCUUCAGGACCAUCGCUAUGAGAACGACGUCAAGUGAGCUCUCACACUUUUUGUUUGUUCAGAUCUGCGACCUCCGAGACUAACUACACAAAGUACAAUAGAAAAAGAUAUAAGGAGAUCUGAACCGGCGAUGGCACUAAAAGAGCCGAGCGCUGCUCGUAGGAGAUCACAGAAGCCACACCUAAUUGAAAAAAAAAAUUGAAAUGAGAGAGAAAUGGUUUUUGAUCAAUUCACAUUGAUCUAAAUGCUUGCUUUUAGCCAAUAUGAAUUUUUUUUUGUUAUGGUUUUAGAGGCUUUUUCAUUGCACCAGUGUUAGAGAACUAAUGAAUUAAACAAAACACAAUUUCAAAGUUAACACACUGGUUCUCAAACAUCAUUUCCUCUCGUUCCAACAUCAAUCCUACGUGUUAAUUUUAGUUUCAAAACUUUUACAGGUUGGCUGAUGUUGGGACGAGAAUCAAUGAUGUUUGAAAACUAAGAGCAUGAUUAUCCAUGUCCCUAUUUUUUUGGUCCUUAGUGUUUUUUAUUAUUAUUUCUAGCUUAGGACAAUGUUAAGGACUUUUAAUGAAAAUUAGGAUUAUUGGUGGGACUUAAUGUUGGUCUUUAGGGUAAAUUUAUUUGUUGAAGAAGGUGAAAUUCAUUUGUUGAAGAAGGUGGAAUUUGUGAAGAAGCAGAACUUGUAUUACGUUUGAUUCUGAAAAUAAAACGAACCAACUCUUGGAACAUUCCUUGUGCUCUAUCUUCUUGUACUUAUCUUUCCAUGUUUUAGAAAAACAUUCCUGCAUUUCUAGCACUUCGUGGCCAGCAAGGUUCAUCACACCCACAACAGAUAGCAAACUUGCAUUCUGGUUCUUGACAAACUUGACAUCACCAACACCUAUCACUCUCAUCAGCCAACCAUAUACAUGACAAGUCUCCAAUCUAUUGCACUUAGCUAGCUUAACGAAGACACCACCCGGUUCCCACACUCUAACACAAAGAGAUAAACCCGAGAGUCCCUUUCCCAUCAACACCUUUUGCAUUCUCCAAUGUUCGCAUGUGACCCUUGAUUAUUAUGGUCAAGUUGUGGCCUGGUUGCAGUCAACUCCUUUCUUUUGAACUUAAUGUCUUUAGCAUUUUACUCACGAUCUUCUGCUGAUUCUAUCUUCUUCCUCUUAAACACAUUUGAUCAAACAGCUGGUGUGCAACUAAAUCAAUAGCCCCCACUGACUUUUGAGCCAACUUCUCCACCGAAUCCAUAUCUAAAAUGUAUGCUUGUUCAACCUUUGGAGCACUCCAAACACCAACAUCGUAUGAAUCAUUGACUAGAAGCUGUGAGCUACUGUUCUUAAGCAAAGCAGAAUGCAAUUCAUCAACCCUAUGGCUUGGUUCCGUAAGAGAGUUUAAUACCUGAAUCGAAUCUUUUCGUGGAAUGAGAUGAUUCUCUCUUACUUCUGUUUCACUAAAUGGUUUUAGAAGAGUUUAAGGGUUUCGAGAAAUGGGUAGAUAGAACGCCAUUGUUCAAUCAUCAGAGGAGGAGGAAGAAAAAAGCUCGCCAGCUGUCACUAAGGACCAUCUCAAAAAACUUCUUAAUUAAGGAUAAAUGACUUCCGUUUCUUUGUAAUUUCUGCAUUUUUCAUUUAUUUCUCAGUCCAAUAUAGCUUAGGACUCUGUCUAAGGACACCAAUAAAGAUGGCCUAAGGUUUUAAAUAAAGUAAUUAUGUCACCGUUUUGAACAGUAAAUAGGAGUAGUUUAAAGUAGUUAAACCUUGGAACAGUCAAUAGUUUGGCUGAAUACAUGCUUCUGAUUUCUGAAAUGAUGUUUAAUAAGCUCUUUGCUUCUAUCAG